CCGGCAUCAUUGUGUUCCAUAGAAGUCAAUAUAAUCCAUCCCUCUGCUCCACCAAACCCUAAGUAUGAAAGGGAAUGAGUCAAACCAAGCCCAACCAUGCCGUUCUCUAUAAAUACUUGAUCCUAGAACAAGAUCUCUCCACCCCUAACACUUUACCCUAAAGCAAGCAUCUGUUCACAAAGCCACUUCAUCUGUCUCCAGAUACAAUGGCAGAUCUUGAACUCUCGAAGACCAUCAAUGUGGUGGUGAUGGCAAUCUUUGUGGUGUUUUUCUUGCUCAUGUCCACUGAGUUGGCCUUUGCUGCUGUAGCCGAGGCAGUCCCAGAGCUUCAACUCGGACGUAGGCUACUCCACGAUGGCUAUAAUACCACCGGACGAGGAGGGUACAACUGAUUAAUUCCUCUGAUGAUAUCAAAUAUAAGAUGGUGAUGACUAAUAAUAAUAAUAAUAAUGUUUAUAAUAUGCCCCGGUUUGUUAUGUUAUAAUGUCUUGUAUUGGUCAUUUAUAAAUGGCCUCCCUUUGAUUAAGUAUUGGUAAUGUAUAUGCCCAUGGUAUUGGAAAAAUGACACUACUACAUUAGUGUCAUAGUUUGUGAUUGGUGUGAAUUUAGCCUCCUCGAAUCGUUGAUUAGUGAUUGCAUCA